GUCUGGUCUGGCUGCGGUCUCUGUGGUGUGUCUGGUCUGACUGUGGUCUCUGUGAUGUCUCUGUGGUGUCUGUGGUCUCUCCCAUGUCUCUGGUGUGUGUCUGUUCAUGGUCCAGCUGAUAUCCCAUGUGCUGACCCCAGGGUGCAGUAUCGUGGCAUUGGUUGCCGUGUGUUUCCAUGUGAACAGCCUGCCUGGCUGGCUUGUCUGUGAAGGGAUGACCAGGACAGAGAGGGAGGAUCUUCUUAACAGCAGUGACCGCUGCCCAGAUCCACAGCCCUAUUUAACCUGCUUGGCUGUCUCCUAUAGCAUCACACACACUGGAUACAACAGGAGGAUACUACAGGAGGAUACUACAGGAGGAUACUACAGGAGGAUCCUACAGGAAGAUACUACAGGAAGAUACAACAGGAGGAUACAACAGGAGGAUACAACAGGAGGAUACAACAGGAGGAUCCUACAGGAGGAUCCUACAGGAAGAUACAACAGGAGGAUCCUACAGGAGGAUCCUACAGGAAGAUACUACAGGAGGAUACUACAGGAGGAUACUACAGGAGGAUCCGACAGGAAGAUACUACAGGAGGAUCCUACAGGAGGAUACUACAGGAGGAUCCUACAGGAAGAUCCUACAGGAAGACACUACAGGAGGGACACUGAGCCUGACACUCUCU
ensembl:lncRNA